CAAGGCUAAAUAUGAAUGGGAAACCGAUAGCAAACAAGUACCGUGAGGGAAAGAUGAAAAGAACUUUGAAAAAAGAGUUAAAAGACUUGAAACCGUUGAGAAGGAAGCGAUAGAAGUUGGGUAAUCAUAUAGCAAAAGGUCUCCUGGUCUGGUUACUGUGGUCUUGCGACGCAGUGGCUGGACAACAGGGAGAUACUUGGUUAUGUGAAAGACAAGAUGAGUUUUGGUAACAAGUAUAUAAUAAAUGUUACGCAAGACUGAGGAUUGAUUUUGUCAAAACGACUUUUACCGACCCGUCUUGAAACACGGACCAAGGAGUUUUACUACAGUGCAAGUCUACAAGUGGAAAACUUAUAGGCGGAUUGAAAGAGAAUUUAGGGUACCAAGGAGCAAUCCGGCAGUAUCGACCUUCAACUGGUUUCUAUCAGUUGCAUGAGUAAGAGCAUUGUGGUUAAGACCCGAAAGAUGGUGAACUAUACUUGAGUAGAGUGAAGUCAAUGGAAACUCUGAUGGAAGCUCAAAGCGGUACUGACGUGCAAAUCGUUCGUGUAACUUGAGUAUAGGGGCGAAAAACCAAUCGAACCAUCUACUAGCUGGUUCCUUCUGAAGUUUCUCUCAGGAUAGCUGAAACGAUUAUACAGUUUUAUCAGGUAAAGCUAAUGAUUAGUGGAUUGGGGGAAUAAAAUUCCUCCACCAAUUCUCAAACUUUAAAUUGGUAAGAGGCUUGAGUUUGCUUAAAUGAACUCGAGCAUGGAAUGUACGUUUUUAGUGGGCCAUUUUUGGUAAGCAGAACUGGCGAUGAGGGAUGCUCCUAAAGCUGAGUUAAGGUGCCCAAGUUACAAUCAUCAGAUACCAUAAAAGGAGUUGGUUUGUUUAGACAGCAGGAUGGUGGCCCUGAGAGCAGGCAUCCAUUAAAAAGUGCUUUCCGCUUACCUGCCGAACGAAUCAGCCCUGAAAAUGGAUGGCGCUAUAUUGUAACACCGAGACUCGGCCAUUGUCGCUAAUCUAUGCGUCAAUGUGUAAGAAGGCGUGUGGCUAGUGUAGAAGCUAAGGUGUGAACCUAAGUGGAACUGGUCAUAGUGCAGAUCUUGGUGGUAGUAGCAAAUAUUCAAAUGAGAACUUUGAAGGCCGAAGUGGAGAAGGGUUCCAUGUGAACAGCAAUUGAUCAUGGGUUACUCGAUCCUAAGACACAGCGGAAACGCCUUGAAAGAAGAGUUAAUCUUCGAGUCAAAAGGGAAUGAGGUUAAUAUUCCUCAAGCUAGCCGUGUAGUAGUAUGGUAACAUAUACAAUCUCGGAGACGCCAGUAUGUACCUCCGGAAGAGUUUUCUUUUCUUCUUAACCAGCUCAAGCCACGGAAUUGAUUUAAUCAGAGAGGUGGCCCAAUGCUGGGUAGAGCAGAGCCCUAGGCUUUGUCGGAUGCGUUCAUAAUGGCCCUUGAAAAUCCGGGUGAGAGACUUAAAUACACGCUAGGUCGUACCAACAACCGCAUCAGGUCUCCAAGGUUAGCAGCCUCUGGUCAACUAGAAGAAUGUAGAUAAGGGAAUUCGGCAAAUUAGAUUCGUAACUUCGGAAGAUGGAUUGGCUCUGAGGACAGUGCAGCCCGGUGACUAUGGAAGUCUUUAUUGAAAUCGUCGACUCGAGUACUCGUAUUCGGUUGAUGAUGGAUUUAGAGAAGUCUGUGGAAGCCACUGCAAUUAACUGUUAACUCAGAACUGAAGCGAACAAAUGGAAUCUAACUGUUUAAUAAAAACAUAGCUUUAUGAUGGCCUGAAAAGGUGUUGACAUAAAGUGAUUUCUGCCCAGUGCUCUGAACGUUAAAGUGAAGAAAUUCAACUAUGCGCGGGUAAACGGCGGGAGUACCCUGACUCUCUUAAGGUAGCGAAAUACCUCGUUAAGUAAUUUUUGACGUGCAUGAAAGGAUUAAUGAGAUUCCAACUGUCCCUAUCUACCAUCUAGCGAAACCACAGCUAAGGGAACGGGCUUAGCAAACUCAUUGGAUAAAGAAGACCCUUUCGCGCUUGACUCUAGUCUGACUUUGUGACAUGACAUAUGA
rnacentral:rRNA from 1 species